UGGGGAAUUUUGGACAAUGGGCGCAAGCCUGAUCCAGCCAUGCCGCGUGCGGGAAGAAGGCCUUCGGGUUGUAAACCGCUUUUGUCAGGGAAGAAAUCUUCUGAGUUAAUACCUCGGGAGGAUGACGGUACCUGAAGAAUAAGCACCGGCUAACUACGUGCCAGCAGCCGCGGUAAUACGUAGGGUGCAAGCGUUAAUCGGAAUUACUGGGCGUAAAGCGUGCGCAGGCGGUUUUGUAAGACAGAGGUGAAAUCCCCGGGCUCAACCUGGGAACUGCCUUUGUGACUGCAAGGCUUGAGUGCGGCAGAGGGGGAUGGAAUUCCGCGUGUAGCAGUGAAAUGCGUAGAUAUGCGGAGGAACACCGAUGGCGAAGGCAAUCCCCUGGGCCUGCACUGACGCUCAUGCACGAAAGCGUGGGGAGCAAACAGGAUUAGAUAGCCCUGGUAGUCCACGCCCUAAACGAUGUCAACUGGUUGUUGGGAAGGUUCCUUCUCAGUAACGUAGCUAACGCGUGAAGUUGACCGCCUGGGGAGUACGG
rnacentral:rRNA from 1 species